ensembl:lncRNA
AAAUAGCUAAUUACAAAUGAGCUGCUGGGUUGUUCACAGCGUGCCUGAGCAGUUCCUGCGGGGACAGCAGUGCUGUGCUCCAUGCAGGUCUGUGCAGGGGGUGUGAGUGACCGUGUCUGGUGCAACAGAAGGUGCAGUGACACCUGAGAGAAAAAUAAAAAGGGUGUUUUAGGAGCCAGGAGGGAGAGCAGAUGGUGCUGGGAAUGACACAGGUGCCCCGAGUCACAAAGCCGUGUGCUCUGAUGUGGGAUGAAUUGCCACCAGCUGGGGGAAGCUGGAGGUGGGCUUUAGCACUUGUUCCUGAGCACCGGGGGGGUGAGAUGUGUCCCAGUGAGGUGCUGGGGAGGGCUCAGCUCCUUCUGUUGGCUCCUUGGGAUUGCUGGCAUGAGAGUGGGUGCGUGUUUGGCUGUGGGCAGAGACUGUGCUGCAGCGUACAAAAGCAGCUGUGUGGUCCGACCCAGUGCUGGGGGAAAGCAUCCCGGGGAAGCACCUAUAAACUGGAGAUGACGCACUUGAUCCAGCGUGUUUGCUGCGGUGGCGCGUCACCUAGGAGCAUCGAGUGGAAGGAUGUUGUUCCGUGCUGCAGAGCGGGCGCAGCUCAGCUCAGCAGACCUCAGCUGCCGAUCUGCACGCAGCAUCAAAGCCAUGCAGGGAGAUGGCCAAGGCAUCCUCUAGCGCUGGGGAACUGUCGAGUCUUCCUGCGCUGCCAGGAUUUCUGA